rnacentral:lncRNA from 1 species
GGCUACUAAAGAAUUUUUCUAAUGUCUGUUUUACAAUAAUCUCAAUUUGUUUAUUGUUCUUUUUUGCCGUUAAUGUCUUUUUUAAGGUACUAGUCUUAUAUAGUUUUGAUGAAGGUCCUGCUUCAUCUUCACUUUUUGGCAAAGUGACAGCCCUUAACGGAUUUGAUUUGUCUUUACCGAUUACCGUUUGAGCCAGACUAGCUGCACCAACAUCCGGUACAGUGGAUUUCUGAGCAUUC